rnacentral:rRNA from 1 species
UACAGGGGGUGCAAACGUUGCUCGGAAUCAUUGGGCGUAAAGCGCACGUAGGCGGUCUGUUAUGUCGGAUGUGAAAGCCCUCGGCUCAACUGAGGAAGUGCAUCCGAAACUGGCAGGCUAGAGUACCAAAGAGGGUCGCGGAAUUCCCGGUGUAGAGGUGAAAUUCGUAGAUAUCGGGAGGAACACCAGUGGCGAAGGCGGCUUCCUGGCCUGUUCUUGACGCUGAGGCGCGAAAGCUAGGGUAGCAAACGGG